AGAGGAAGAAAGAGGAGGUGGGGGAGAGGUGUGAGAGGGGGUCAAAGACAGAAAGGGAAAGAUGAGAACAGAGGAGCAGGGAAGAAAGAGGAGGUGGGGGAGAGGUGUGAGAGGGGGUCAAAGACAGAAAGGGAAAGAUGAGAACAGAGGAGCAGGGAAGAAGUAGGAGGUGGGGGAGAGGUGUGAGAGGGGGUCAAAGACAGAAAGGGAAAGAGCAGAACAGAGCAGAACAGAGGAGCAGGGAAGAAAGCUUAUGAUUCAUGAAUCACAGUGCAACUAAACUACGUAUUCUCUCAGGUCAUCACAGUUACAUAAUAGUAUCUCUACCGGUGUCUCCUAACCAGCCUUGGGCCCCCAGUUGGGUUGUCUUUGAGCGGAUGAGGUGACG
ensembl:lncRNA